UUCCUAUGCAUAUACUUCUUC
rnacentral:ncRNA from 2 species